rnacentral:rRNA from 1 species
CCUACGGGAGGCAGCAGUGGGGAAUAUUGGACAAUGGGCGCAAGCCUGAUCCAGCAAUACCGCGUGUGUGAAGAAGGCCUGAGGGUUGUAAAGCACUUUCAAUAGUGAGGAAUACCUAUCCUAUUAAUACUAGGUAGACUGACAGUAGCUAUAGAAGAAGC